AUACUUACCUGGAUGGGGUCUAUGGGCGAUCAAAAAUGUUCAUGGCCUAGGUUAGUGACCUCCAUUGCACUUUGGAGCGGUGCUCGCCUAAGAUCUACCCAAGUGGUGGAGUCUACAUCAUAAUUUGUUGCAGAGGGGGAACGCGUUCGCGCGGCCCCUGC